rnacentral:piRNA from 1 species
UAUUAUUGUAGCCUCUAUCAU